AAUCCCUUUUGCAGUGUGGGGCAGCCCUGAAGGGCCAGAAUGCCUGCCCUCCUCCACAGGAGGAUUUGUUAUGCAGUGAUAAGAGAGGAUUUGUUCUGCAGUGAUAAGGGCAGGACCUGGGGAGCUGGUGUCAAUCUGAUGAACUCCCAGGCUUCAGCUGCUGGUGCUGAGAGGCCAGAAACUGCUUAUACAUUUUCACAAUUCCUGCUUCCACAUGUCAGAGAGGGCAGGCCAGGAGCCUUGCAUCUCUUUGGUUUGCAGUACCAAAUGGCAUUGGAGGAGGGUUUCUCAGAAGGUGACUCCUCUUCCUCUACUGUCAGCAACAACCAGGUGCCCCUGGCUAUCCCUCGAAGAGCUUUUAACUGCCCAAUCUGCCUGGACACCAUUGAGGAGGAAACCUCCGUGAGCUGGUGUAGACAUGCUUUCUGCUUUUCUUGCAUACUGGAAUGGUCCCGCAUCAGACCUCUUUGCCCGGUCUGCCAGGAGCAUUUCCGAUACCUCUUCCGCAAAGUGGGAGACAAUAACUAUGAGGUGUACUACAUCAACUCCAUCAGACGUAAUCGAGGAAGGAGACAUCGUCGCCACUCUGCAGACAGGAGGAGGCAUCAUUCCGCAGACCAUGCAUACCGCAGAUCUUCCGGUGGGGAGCAUGACAAUAACCGUGCCAGAGACCGGGAAAGGCACCGAAGCAGGUCCCGGAGGCGGAACCAUGAUGGCCACAGCAGGCGUCAGCAGGCCCGGAGUUUUGACCCCUCAAGCAGCAGGAGAUGGCAGCAUGGCAGGGCUCAGGACACAGUUUCUGAAAUGUCUCAUGGUGGGAACCAAGGUGCAAGGCAUGAACGGGAUGUCCCAGUCCGCCUGGGGAGGAGUGAGCACCGUCGGCGGGCACAAUGGGACCUCUCCAGGGAAUCCCAGGCAACAAGGAGCCGAUCUUGGAGGAGGCCCCACAGUGUUUGGCGACAAACACAAAGAGAAGAGCAAAGGAGGAGGGAUCACAAUGAGUGACAACCUGCAAGGCCUGAACAGGAUGUCCCUGACUCCCUGGGGUUGGAGUGAGCACCUUCAGCCAGCACAAUCGGUUUCCUCCAGGGAACCCCUGGCAACAAGGAGUCAAUCUUCUUGAUCCUGACGGACAUCCCAGAGCCCUGAGUGGCACAGGGAAAGGUAGCACACCCUACCAAGAAGGGUACUACUGUAUAUCCUACUACUUGUGUCACAAAUUUUACCACUUUACACCAAAACUGGUCCUACUAACAUUUCCCAAAAUAAAGUCAAUUCCCACCAUCAAGCUUGGAUCAUAGAAUCUCUUCUCCAUCAAAAAACACAUCCAAAAAUCUAGAGACCUACGUAAGGGUGACCAAGGUUAAGAGGAUAACAAGCUAGUAGGUAGAAGCUAGAAAAACACCUUAAGCUGGUUUAUUCCUAAACUAGAAUGUAGUGCUGGGUAUGAAUGGUAAAACCUGUGACUUGAUAUAAAAUACAGAAAGGGAAAACUCCUUGAUAGCAAGGCAGCCUCGUGAGAAAAACUACCUGGGAAGCUGUUGUUCCCCAGGGCCAGAGCUCAUGUCUUCUGUGUGUAGUUCCUGAAAGCCCUGUGGUGUCACCACAAAGCCAUUGUGACAUGUGUGACAUCAAUCCCUUUUUGCAGUGUGGGGCAGCCCUGAAGGGCCAGAAUGCCUGCCCUCCUCCAAAGAGGACAGACACUGGCAGAUGGGGGAAGGAUGGACCCCCAUCCCGCUGGCUGCCUUCUGAGAGCAUAGAGAGAAUUUCCUGUGCAGUAAUAGCAGCAGGACCUGGGGAGCUGGUCCCAAUUUGCCACAUUCCCAGGCUUCAACUGUUGUUGCUGAGAGGCCAGAAACUGCUUUUACAUCUUUGCAAUUCUUGCUUGCACAUGUCAGAGAGGGCAGGCCAGGAGCCUUGCAUCUCUUUGGUUUGCAGUACCAGAUGGCGUUGCAGAAGGGCUUGGCAGAAGAUGGCACCUCUUCCUCUAUUGCCAGCAACAACCAGGUGCUCCAGGCUGAACCUCCACACAACUCAGAGAACCAAAUGUGCCCAAUUUGCUUGGACACCAUUAACAACCAAGUCUCAGUGAGCUGGUGCAGCCAUGCUUUCUGCUUUCCUUGCAUACUGGAAUGGUCCCGCAAUAGACCUGUUUGUCCAAUCUGCCGGGAGCCUUUCCGAUACCUCCUCCGCAAAGUGGGAGACAAUAACUAUGAGGUGUACUCGAUAGGGCACUACAUCAGCUCCAUCAGACGUAAUCGAGGAAGGAGACAUCGUCGCCACUCUGCAGACAGGAGGAGGCAUCAUUCCGCAGACCACUCACACCGCCGAUCUUCCGGUGGGGAGCAUGACAAUAACCGUGCCAGAGACCGGGAAAGGCACCGAAGCAGGUCCCGGAGGCGGAACCAUGAUGGCCACAGCAGGCGUCAGCAGGCCCGGAGUUUUGACCCCUCAAGCAGCAGGAGAUGGCAGCAUGGCAGGGCUCAGGACACAGUUUCUGAAACGUCUCAUGGUGGGAACCAAGGUGCAAGGCAUGAACGGGAUGUCCCAGUCCGCCUGGGGAGGAGUGAGCACCGUCAGCGGGCACAAUGGGAUCUCUCCAGGGAAUCCCAGGCAACAAGGAGCCAAUCUCAUAGAUUCCGGCGGACAUCCCACACCUCUGAGCAGCACAGGGACAGGUAGGACACCCUACUAAGAAGGGUACUACUGUAUGUCCUGCUACUAGUGUCACAAAUUAUACUACUUUAUACCAAAGUUGGUCCUAAUAACAAUUCCUAAAAUAAAGUUAAUUCCAACCAUCAAA